GACGAACGCUGGCGGCGUGCUUAACACAUGCAAGUGGUGCGACGAACCAGGCUUCGGCCUGGGGCGAAGCCGCGAACGGGUGAGUAACACGUGGGCAAUCUGCCCCUUUGAUCGGGACAACCCGGGGAAACCCGGGCAAAUACCGAAUGAGGUGGCGACUCAUGAGAGUCGUCACGAAAGGAAGCUUCGGCCUCCGCGCCGGGAUGAGCCCGCGGCCCAUUAGCGUGUUUGUGGGGUCAUGGCCUACCAAGGCAACGAUGGGUAGCUGGUCUGAGAGGACGAUCAGCCACACUGGGACUGAGACACGGCCCAGACUCCUACGGGAGGCUGCAGUGGGGAAUCUUGCGCAAUGAGCGACAGCUUGACGCAGCAACGCCGCGUGAGGGAAGAAGGCUUUCGGGUCGUAAACCUCUUUCAGUUAGGACGAAGCUUUAUUGGUUAAUAACCAAUUGGAGUGACGGUACUUUCAGAAGAAGCCCCGGCUAACUACGUGCCAGCCGCCGCAGUAA
rnacentral:rRNA from 1 species